rnacentral:rRNA from 1 species
CAUUACAGAGAACAUCGCCCUCACGGGUGACUCUCCAACCCUAUGUUAUACAACCUUUGUUGCUUUGGCGAGCCGCCUCGGCCGCUGGCUUCGGCUAGCGAGUGCUCGCUAGAGGACCUAAACUCUGAAUAUUAAUGUCGUCUGAGUACUAUAUAAUAGUUAAAACUUUUAACAACGGAUCUCUUGGUUCUGGCAUCGAUGAAGAACGCAGCGAAAUGCGAUAAGUAAUGUGAAUUGCAGAAUUCAGUGAAUUAUCGAAUCUUUGAAUGUACAUUGCGCCCCGUGGUAUUCCGCGGGGCAUGCCUGUUCGAGCGUCAGUACAAUACUCAAGCUCUGUUUGGUAUUGGGCCCUGCCGGCAACGGCUGGCCUUAAAAUCAGUGGCGGCGCCAUCUGGCUCUAAGCGUAGUAAUACUCCUCGCUACAGAGUCCCGGUGGAUGUUUGCCAGUAACCCCCAAUUUUCUAAGUUUGAC